UGAGGAAUUUUGGACAAUGGGCGCAAGCCUGAUCCAGCAAUGCCGCGUGCAGGAAGAAGGCCUUCGGGUUGUAAACUGCUUUUGCACGGAACGAAACAGUCUGGGUUAAUACCCUGGGCCAAUGACGGUACCGUAAGAAUAAGCACCGGCUAACUACGUGCCAGCAGCCGCGGUAAUACGUAGGGUGCAAGCGUUAAUCGGAAUUACUGGGCGUAAAGCGUGCGCAGGCGGUUUUGUAAGACAGUCGUGAAAUCCCCGGGCUCAACCUGGGAAUGGCGAUUGUGACUGCAAGGCUAGAGUGCGGCAGAGGGGGAUGGAAUUCCGCGUGUAGCAGUGAAAUGCGUAGAUAUGCGGAGGAACACCGAUGGCGAAGGCAAUCCCCUGGGCCUGCACUGACGCUCAUGCACGAAAGCGUGGGGAGCAAACAGGAUUAGAUACCCUGGUAGUCCACGCCCUAAACGAUGUCAACUGGUUGUUGGGUCUCUUCUGACUCAGUAACGAAGCUAACGCGUGAGGUUGACCGCCUGGGGAGUACGGCCGCAAGGUUG
rnacentral:rRNA from 1 species